rnacentral:rRNA from 1 species
CGCUUGACAUGCUAGGAACCUCGCAGAGAUGUGAGGGUGCUCGAAAGAGAGCCUAGACACAGGUGCUGCAUGGCUGUCGUCAGCUCGUGUCGUGAGAUGUUGGGUUAAGUCCCGCAACGAGCGCAACCCUUGUCCUUAGUUGCUACGAAAGGGCACUCUAAGGAGACUGCCGGUGACAAACCGGAGGAAGGUGGGGAUGACGUCAAGUCCUCAUGGCCCUUAUGCGUAGGGCUUCACACGUCAUACAAUGGUCGGUACAGAGGGUCGCCAACCCGCGAGGGGGAGCCAAUCCCAGAAAACCGAUCGUAGUCCGGAUUGCACUCUGCAACUCGAGUGCAUGAAGUCGGAAUCGCUAGUAAUCGCGGAUCAGCAUGUCGCGGUGAAUACGUUCCCGGGUCUCGUACACACCGCCCGUCACACCAUGGGAGUGGGUUUUACCAGAAGUAGGUAGCUUAACCGCAAGGAGGGCGCUUACCACGGUAGGGCUCAUGACUGGGGUGAAGUCGUAACAAGGUAAGCGUAGUGCU